rnacentral:rRNA from 1 species
CUAGCGNNGCCGCGUGAGUGACGAAGGNCUUAGGAUCGUAAAGCUCUUUCGCCAGGGAUGAUAAUGACAGUACCUGGUAAAGAAACCCCGGCUAACUCCGUGCCAGCAGCCGCGGUAAUACGGAGGGGGUUAGCGUUGUUCGGAAUUACUGGGCGUAAAGCGCACGUAGGCGGAUCAAUAAGUUAGAGGUGAAAUCCCAGGGCUCAACCCUGGAACUGCCUUUAAUACUGUUGGUCUAGAGUUCGAGAGAGGUAAGUGGAAUUCCGAGUGUAGAGGUGAAAUUCGUAGAUAUUCGGAGGAACACCAGUGGCGAAGGCGGCUUACUGGCUCGAUACUGACGCUGAGGUGCGAAAGUGUGGGGAGCAAACAGGAUUAGAUACCCUGGUAGUCCACUGCUGCCUCCCGUAGGAA